GGGCCACGGCGUCUCUCCUCUAAUGACACCUCAUCAAUCCGCUCCUAUCAAUGUCCCAGCCAUGGAGGUGACUUCGAGUGCUCAGAAGCCUUAGAAAAUGUCAACGUUUUGGGAGAAAAGGUGAGGAAAAAGAGACAAGAGUUUGGCAGCAAGUAACUUCCAGAGCUGGGAAUCAAGCUAAGGUCAGUGAAUGUAAUAUUAUCUAGAAAAACAAAACUCAUAGAUAAAGCAGCAUGAUAUAGUGGAAAGAGGUGGAAUCUGGCUUUGAAGACCUGAGUUAACAUCAAAGCUUGCUGACAUGGUGUAUCCUGAAAUGGAGAGAGUUAAAUGAAGAAUUUGAAAUCCUCCUAAGGCCAGAAACCUGCGCGUGCUUUGGAUGUAAGUAACAUUUGUCAAGCCUGAAUUUUAGAAAGUUUGUAUAACAUUUAAUUCAUUGUUUUAAUCCAAAGGAGAACAUCCUGUUUACUGAGCCCUCAGAGUUGUUGAAAUAUGAAUAUGAAAUAGGAAUCCUUUCAACAUCCCAGAUUGUUCCUAUUUUUAUUUUUAUGUCUGAGAGUAUGGAUGUUCAGAGACGUUAAGUAACAUACUCUAAAUAACAUAGGUAAAAAGUACCAGGGCCAGGAUUUAAACCUGGUUUUGAUCAUUUUAAGGCCCAUGGGAAGGCCUACCACUUGCUAUCAAGACACAUAAAGCACAGUGCCUAGAGUGAGCUAACAACCUAUUAUAGAUUCCACAUGCAUCCCAUUUUCUGAGGCUUGUUAAAUUGUCUGAGAAAGGGCAUUAUGAUCAGUUUUCUUCAGUAAAUUUCACCAGUUUGGCCAAAGCCACUGAGGCAAGGUGACCUGAACGGCAUGUUGGUUAAUGUAGAUUCAAACCUGGAUGGUUGUUUUAUUUCUUUGUGAUGCUUGCCUGAUCUGGAAAGAAAGCAUAUCCUGUUGACUGAAGGAGAUUGGAGGUCAAAAACAGAAUGAGGAAAAUGGGGAUAGAGAAUUAUUGGGGCUCCUAAGCGAUAUGAAUGGAAUGGAGAGAAUCUGACAAAAAACGUUCUAUGGGGGACUUUUCCCUUGAUUAAAUUAGAGCUAUUUGGAUAGCUAAUUGAAUGAUAGGGUCCAGGAGAAAAGAGCAGCAACCUUAUGAAACCUUUCUUCUUAUAUUUUUAAGUCGUUGGGCAGUUUUACAGCACACCACAUUAGGCGGGAGCAAAGUUUCUUUGCUCAUGGUGAGUUAGCCUCAGAAAUUUCUACACAUACAUCUUUUAAGGAAGAUGACUGUAUAUUUUGGUCAAAGCUAGUAAGGUCAUUGCUUUUGUAUGUUGCUUAAACCUUUCCUGAUAAUGCGCUAUGAACCUCCCUUCCUAUCCCCUGUAGUUGCAUGACUUCUGCUGAGAAUGGGUAGGGAUGCUCAGCCAGGCUGCUGGCUCCAUGCUACUUAGCUGUAACUUAAUAUUCCUAAGUGAAACUUGUUUUGGAGCUUAAGAACUCUGGGAGGUAUUGGUUGCUCCUUCACAUUUCCUGCCACAAACAUUUCCAACUCUCCUUGGAGCAUAAGAGGUGUGGGAGGGGAUGGUGAGGUCUGAGGCAGCCUGCUGUUUGGUGGGUCACAGUUUCCCCUCACCAGGGCUCCCUUUACUCCUUUUGAGUGUGCUGAUAUAGAAUGGGGAUGUGCUUGCAGCGGAAUUUAGUUGGAAGAGAAGGGCUCUGUGGGUCUGGAGUUCAGUCUUUCAGUCAUGGAGCUGGAGUGCCCUCUGCUGCUCUGGAGAGGAAGGUGCAUGAACAGCAUGGCUCUUGCCUGCACUUUGCUCCAGGUACAGGAAAAUCUCCAAAAUGCUCCCUUUGAAAACCAGUGCUCGGUUGAUCACUAAGCAUCUGGUUUCACUCAACUGUGGGGACUUUGGCUUUUUCAAGGAAAUCUCAUUGAGGCUGAGUAUGCAACCAGACCAGAGCCCACGUGGAAGGUAGCUUUCCUUCGGUCAAAAGGUGUGACAGCCAUUUCAGGAUAGGUAUUUGGCUUAUUUUUCAUGAGUGUCAGUGUCACCAUGAAAUAAGUGUUUAUUUUGUGUGUGAUCAAUCUUUUCAUAUAUAUCUGGGAUAACUGAAUAUUGUUAUUCCAGGUUUGGAGGUUUCUAUAUAUUUUCCUUUUGCAGUGUGUAAAAUCAAUGUUGAAAAAUGUUCUUUGUGGAAAAUGCAAGCAUUUUUAAAAAACAUUUCUUGCUUUACUUUUUAAUGUAUUUUAUCAUUCUGCAGUGGCAUAUUUUUAUAUAGUCUUAUAAUUUACAACCACUUUCUCAUAAUCUCAUUAAAACAUCCUGGUAAAUCUGAUAUAAGCUAUGUAGCUCCUACUUUAUAGACAGAAAAGCAAGUUUAAAGUCAUACCCAGUCAUAUAAGCGGUAUCAGAAGUGAGAACUGGGUCAGCUAAUGUGCUGAGCUCCAGGAAAAGGAUACCAGUGAAUAGUUAUUUAAUACUUAACCAUUUGUUAGCACCAUAAUAGUGUUUUUAAAUUAAUUAAUUAAUUAAUUAAUUUUUGUCUUUUUGUCUUUUUUUAGGGCUGCACCCGUGGCAUAUGGAGGUUCAUAAGCUAGGGGUCUAAUCGGAGCUGUUGCCGCUGGCCUAUGCCAGAGCCACAGGAACGCCAGAUCUGAGCAUAUCUGCAACCUAUACCACAGUUCAUGGCAAUGCCAGAUCCUUAACCCACUGAGCAUGGCCAUGGAUCAAACCUUCAACCUCAUGGUUCCUAGUCGGAUUCAUUUCCACUGUGCCAUGGCGGGAACUCCAACUGUGUUUUUUUUAAUUCAUUGCUUACUUAUUUUUUACAUCAACUCAAAAGGUAGACAUUAUUAUAGCUGUUAUUUUAAUAGAUAUUAAAAUAGAGGCUUUGAGAAGUUACUAAUAAAGAGUCAAACAGACAGUAAGUGGAAAAGCUUUGUUUCAAACCCUGCUCCAUCUGAUGCCAGAGGCCCUGAUGUAUGAACAAUAUUUAAUAUGAAGAGAAAUCCCUGGCCUCAAGCAAUUUAGAGUAGUUUUUUUUUUGAUGCGAUAAUAUAUUUAUGAUAUAUGACAUAAAAUUUACCAUUUUAACCACCUUUAGGUGUAAAGUUCAAUGUCAUUAAGUACAUUCAUGUUGACUGAAUGAUAGUCCAUUUUAUGACUAUACCAUAUUUUAUGUAUUCAUCCCUUGAUGGACGUUUGAAAUGUUUCCACCUUUUGCUUAUUGUGAAUAGUGCUGAUAUGAUAUAAAUACCUGUUUGAGUUACUGCUUUUGGUUAUUUUCAGUGUAUACCCAGAAGUAGGGCUGCUGAAUCAUAUAUUAAUUCUAUGUUUAAAUUUUUUUAAGGAACUACCCCUCUCUUUCUCACAGUGGCGGCACUAUUUAACAUUCCUACCAAUGGAGAACAGGGCUGGUUCAUUCGUUCGUUCUUUCUUUCUUGCUUUCAUAGCCUAAUGCAUGUGAGGUAUCUCAUUGGGGUUUUAUGUUUUAAAGUUUUAAAUUUUUUUUGCUUUUUUGGAGGGGCCAUACAUGCAGCAUAUGGAAAUUCCCAGGUUAGGUGUUGAAUGGGAGCUGCAGCUCAGGCCUGUGUCACAGCCGUAGCAACAGGGGGAUCUGAGCUGGGUUUGUGACCUACACCACAGCUCGUGGCAAUGCUGGGUCCUUAACCCACUCAACAAGGCCAGGCAUUGAACCCACAUCCUCAUGGAUGUUUCCACUGAACCACAAUGGGAACUCCCUCAUUGGGGUUUUAAUUUGCAUUUCCCUAAUUAUUAGUGAAGUAUAAUAUCUUUUCAUGUGCUUCUUGGCCAUCUAUAUAUCUCUUUGAGGAAAUGUCUACUAUUUCUUAACUGGGUUUUCUUUGGCUGUUGUUGAGUUGUAUUGAGUUCUUUAUAUAUUCUGGAUAUUAAUUCUUUAUCAGAUGUAUGAUUUGCAAUUGUUUUCUCUUUUACUCUAUGGCUCUUUACUCUGUUGAUAGUAUCCUUUGAUGCACAAAAUGUUUCAAACAUUUUGAUGAAGUCUAAUUUAUUUGUUUCCUCUUUCAUUGCCUCUGCUUUUGGUAUCAUAUCCAAGAAUUCAUUGCCAAACUCAAUGUCAGGAAGCUUUCCCCUGUAUUUUCUUCUAAGAAUUUUAUAGUUUUAGUCCUUACAUUUGGGUGUUUGAUCUAUUUUGAGUUAAUUUUUUGUAUAUUGUGAAACUAAGCAUCCAGCUUCAUUCUUUUGCAUGUAGAUAUUGUUUUCCUUAUAAUAUUUGUUGAAAAGGAUGUCUUUUCCCCAUUAAAUUGACUUGGCACACUUGCUGAAAAUCAUUUGGCCAUAUAUGUUAGGGUUUAUUUCUGAACUCUGUAUUCUGUUCAUUGGUGUGUGUGUUUGUCUUUAUGUCAGUACUACACUUUAUUAAUUACUAUAGCUUUGUUUGAAGUUUUGAAAUACAGAAGUGUGCAACCUCUAGUUUUGUUCAUUGUCAAGAUUGUUUUGACUAUCUGAAGUCCCUAGAAAGUCCAUGUGUUUUAGGUUGGGUUUUUCUAUUUUUGCCAAAAAAUGUCAUUGGGAUUCUGAUAGUGAUUGCAUUGAAUCUAUAGAUUUCUUUGAGUAAUAUUGACAUUUUAACAAUAUUGUCUUCUGAUUCAUGAAUGCAGACUGUAUUUUUAUUUAUAGAUGUCUUUUAAAUUUUUAUUCAGCAAUACUUUAUAUUUUUCAGUGUACAAGUCCUUGGUUAAGUUUAUUCCUAAAUAUUUUUUUUCUUUUAGAUGCUAUUGUAAAUGAGAUUUUCUUAAUUUUCUUUUUAGAUUGUUCAUUGUUAGUGUACAGAAAUGCAACUGAUUUUGCAUGCUGUUUUUGUAUCCUACUACCAGUUUGCCAUUUUAACUUGAGCCCAUAUCUUUUAACCAUGUCUCAUGUAUUUCCUACUCUUUCACAGUGGUCAACAUGUGAAAAUGACAAUUAAUUUCCAUUACACAGAAAUUUUGUUCUUAUGUCAAACUUUACCAAAAUUUGUCUGCCAUGAGUUUUUUUCAUGGAGUCCAAACAUUGUCAGCAAUUCAAUUAAUGAAAAAGAAAAUCAAUCUGAUUUUCCUUGUCUCUAUGUUAUGCCUACACUUAAUCUGAAUGACAAAGUUUUAACUUCCAGAUGCACAAAUUGGUUUGGUAUUAUAUUGACACAGCUACAGUUCUCAAAGUUGUUAUAAUCUGCACAAAGAAAACUAAAAACUAAAAUAUGCAUUUGUUUAUUUAUUCAACUUUCCAACUCAUGUUGACUUGGGUCAUAUAGUUUAUCCUAUUUGAUUGCCUAUUCAGCUAGAUAAAAAGCAUAGUACCAGUUUAAAAAAUAGACAAUUUAAUACAUUGGCCAACACCUGAUAAGAAUAACGCACACAAAUCUGUAAGCCAAUUUCACUUAUGAGUGUACAUGCCAAAAUUUGAAAUGCAGUUAUCAAAUUCUUAUUAUUUUAAAUAAAGACUAUACUACAUAUAGUAUAAUCUAGUAAUUUAAGUAUACAAUCUAUGAUCAUGAUUUAUCACAUCAUAUUGUAAGGAAAAAAAACUUGUGAAACCCUCUGAUAAAUGCAUGAAGCAUUUAUAAGUGCAACAUAUAUUCAUGAAUCAAAAUAUACUUUCAGUAAACCAUAGAUACUGUACCUCUUUUACACAACUACAAAUAAUGUACUUAAAACUAAAGCCAAUAUCUACUUAGUAGAAAAUUCAGAAGGUUGCUGCUUUCAUGUAUCAUAAUUCCAGAAGUUCUAAUCAAUGCAUAAUAAUAUUAGUACAUCUACUAAUAAGUGUAUUUAAAUAAAAGUAGAUAACCAUAACAUGUGUAAGCAAUAAUUUUGUUGACCUGGAAACCAAACUUAAUCAAUUGGAAAACUAUUAGAAAGUAAUAAUGGAGUUUUCAUUGUGACUCAGUGGGUUAAGACCCCAACAUAGAGUCUGUGAGGAUGAGGGUUCCAUCUGUGGCCUUGCUUGGUUGAGUUAAGUAUCUGGUAUUGUUGUAAGCUAUGAUAUAGGUUACAGAUAUGUCUCAGAUAUGGCAUUGCUGUGGCUGUGGUGUAGGCCUGCACUUGCAGCUCCAAUUCCACCCCUGGCCCAGGAACUUCCAUGUGCUACAGGUGUG
rnacentral:lncRNA from 1 species